UACGAAGGGGGCUAGCGUUGCUCGGAAUCACUGGGCGUAAAGGGUGCGUAGGCGGGUCUUUAAGUCAGGGGUGAAAUCCUGGAGCUCAACUCCAGAACUGCCUUUGAUACUGAGGAUCUUGAGUCCGGGAGAGGUGAGUGGAACUGCGAGUGUAGAGGUGAAAUUCGUAGAUAUUCGGAAGAACACCAGUGGCGAAGGCGACUCACUGGACAUGUAUUGACGCUGAGGUGCGAAAGCGUGGGGAGCAAACAGG
rnacentral:rRNA from 1 species